UACGGAGGGGGCUAGCGUUGUUCGGAAUUACUGGGCGUAAAGCGCACGUAGGCGGCUUUGUAAGUUAGAGGUGAAAGCCCGGGGCUCAACUCCGGAAUUGCCUUUAAGACUGCAUCGCUAGAAUUGUGGAGAGGUAAGUGGAAUUCCGAGUGUAGAGGUGAAAUUCGUAGAUAUUCGGAAGAACACCAGUGGCGAAGGCGGCGCUCUGGACCGAGACUGACGCUGAGGCGCGAAAGCGUGGGGAGCAAACAGG
rnacentral:rRNA from 1 species